GAGUGCAAGCAAGUAUUAAAUGUUUACUGUAAGGAUGAUUAUCAAUGCACUGAUUAUUAUAAAGCUAAAUGUUUCUUCAACAAUUGCUCUAUUCCGAAUGAUUUUUUCGUACCUGAGAAUGCUCACAAUGUCAGCUUAUAUGCCGCAACAUAUCUUGGAGACGUUUGUCGAACUGAUCACCAUUGUCGUGACCUAGAAAAUGCUCAUUGCUUUGAGGACGAAUGUCGUUGUCAGAAGGGCUUUGCAAAAAUUCACGAUAAAUGCUAUAAGCUUUCGGAUGUUAAUUGUACUCA